rnacentral:rRNA from 1 species
UACGGAAGGGGCAAGCGUUGUCCGGAUUUAUUGGGCGUAAAGAGCGUGUAGGCGGCCAGGUAGGUCAGCUGUGAAAACUCGAGGCUCAACCUCGAGACGUCGGUUGAAACCACCUGGCUAGAGUCCGGAAGAGGAGAGUGGAAUUCCUGGUGUAGCGGUGAAAUGCGCAGAUAUCAGGAAGAACACCCGUGGCGAAGGCGGCUCUCUGGGACGGUACUGACGCUGAGACGCGAAAGCGUGGGGAGCGAACAGG